rnacentral:rRNA from 1 species
UACGUAGGGUGCGAGCGUUAAUCGGAAUUACUGGGCGUAAAGUGUGCGCAGGCGGCCAUGCAAGUCGAGUGUGAAAGCCCCGGGCUUAACUUGGGAAUUGCGCUCGAAACUACGUGGCUGGAGUGUGGCAGAGGAAGGUGGAAUUCCACGUGUAGGGGUGAAAUGCGUAGAGAUGUGGAGGAACACCAAUGGCGAAGGCAGCCUUCUGGGCCAACACUGACGCUCAUGCACGAAAGCGUGGGGAGCAAACAGG